AGAGUUUGAUCAUGGCUCAGAACGAACGGUGGCGGCGUGGAUAAGACAUGCAAGUCGAACGGGAUUUUAGUUGUAGCAAUACAGCUGAAGUUCAGUGGCGCAAGGGUGCGUAACACGUGGGCAAUCUGCCUGGGAGCGCGGGAUAGCUUGGCGAAAGCCAAAUUAAUACCGCAUGUGGCUAUCGGAUGCAUUUCCGAGACGCUAAAGACGGCGCAAGCUGUCGCUCCCGGAUGAGCCCGCGGCCUAUCAGCUAGUUGGUGAGGUAAUGGCUCACCAAGGCUAUGACGGGUAGCUGGUCUGAGAGGACGACCAGCCACACUGGAACUGAGACACGGUCCAGACACCUACGGGUGGCAGCAGUCGAGAAUUUUUCUCAAUGGGGGAAACCCUGAAGGAGCGACGCCGCGUGGAGGAUGAAGGUUUUCGGAUUGUAAACUCCUGUCAUUUGGGAACAAUAGAUCAGUUUAACUGGCUGAUUCUUGAUAGUACCAGAAGAGGAAGAGACGGCUAACUCUGUGCCAGCAGCCGCGGUA
rnacentral:rRNA from 1 species